rnacentral:rRNA from 1 species
UACAGAGGUCUCAAGCGUUGUUCGGAUUCAUUGGGCGUAAAGGGUGUGUAGGUGGCGCGCUAAGUCGGGUGUGAAAUUUCGGAGCUUAACUCCGAAACUGCAUUCGAUACUGGCGUGCUUGAGGACUGGAGAGGAGACUGGAAUUCAUGGUGUAGCAGUGAAAUGCGUAGAGAUCAUGGAGGAAGACCAGUGGCGAAGGCGGGUCUCUGGGACAGUUCCUGACACUGAGACACGAAGGCCAGGGGAGGCAAACGGG